AGCUCAGUUGGUAGAGCACUGGUCUCCAAAACCAGGUGUCGGGCGUUCGAGUCGCUCC
rnacentral:tRNA from 1 species